AUUGUGAGUUAUACAUUUUUUAUGUGCUCUGUUUUGGGGGACAUAUUCUUCAACUGAGUAUGACUUGUUCCAUGGAGUUUUCUGCUUUACUUUCCAUUUCAAGAAUCAAUUGUAGUCGUGUAAUUCUCUCUUGUUGGUUUGGUUUGAGUUGGUCUGUUCUGGUUUGGAGCCGGGAUGACGAACACUGUAAUUUAAUCCAGAUUAAGACUGCAGAUUUUUUUUCCUUUUGCCCUUGUUGCCUCAUAUUAUUGUUCCAUCACGAAAGUCAUCGAGGUGGCUGCUAUCUGCAGUGGAUUAUGGGUCUGAAUUGAAACACUGAAAUGUUUUUUUCCUGAAAAUGUAUGCAUUUAUCAGUUUUGUUGCCAGUAGUAACGAGUGGAAUUGCAGUGCCAUGAUGUACUUGCAAUCAUCUAGGCAUCUCAUGCUGUUUUUGUGUUGUUGUUUCCUUCAAUAACGUGAAUAAUUCAGCAGAGAAAGAGGGAGGGUGGAGGCUCAGUCUGGUUGAGGGAAGCAGCGUUGCUUUCAUCAUCCUGCAGCACGCCUUCACUCACACAGCUGGUGGUUACAUAACAGCUAGGCUGCCUGUACUCACUCCUUCCUCCUGUGUCUCCCUUGAUUGUCAAUAUGUCAACUUAAACCUUCUACCCCACAGAACAAUUUAGAUGUCAUGUUGGAGUUUUUAGUGCAAAGUUUGAAUAGGUCAUGCUCGGGCUUCCCUUAGGGAGUGUCCCAGGCGUUGAAAAGUCAAAGAGUUCCUUUGAAUCUUAAAAUCAAUGUGAGUCUGAGUUUAACAGGAAGCAAAGAGGUCACAGGAUAAUUUACAAGACACUUUCUCAAUUUCACAAGUGACCUUUCACCGCUCAGAUCAUUUAUUAGUUUGACUGAGCCAACCUCUGUUGUCCUCACUUCAUUGGUUUCUUUAGAUUGUUCAACAAAAAUCCCUCUCUUCUUGUGAAGAAACAUUUUAUUGCUGUGCUAGUAAACGUUGAUAGCGCCCCAACAGUUGGAUACAGCAGUGAGUUGCUCUUAAGCCAAAAGUCCAAGAGUUGUUUUCUUUUCCUUUUGAUUUAUGCAGUCAUCCGAAUUCACUCAGUCUUACUCCACUGGUCUGGCUUCUUUUGAUCAAAUGUUUGUGCAUUGCUAAAUUGACACCCAGCAGAGGUUCAAGUUGGAGAAGAGUUUUUUCACUUUCAAUCUUUCCAGAAACAUUGCGAGGACCUGGGGAUCAAGAUUUUAUCAGCCCCUUUUGAGGAUGGAUUCUCCUCCUUCACAGCUGCACAGAUUUGUAGAACAUAUUUUUUUGUCUUUGCUUUCAGUGACCUAAACCUAAACCUGACUACUGACCGGCUUUACCAUUUACAUAUGUGGGGAAAAUGCAGUGUUUGCAUUAAUAACUGAGCAGGAUUUGGAUUUGUUCAAAAUUUGGCAAAAUAGUACAUUCUGUCAUCGGCAUAACAGGAUAACUUGAUUUUCUUUACAAAAAUUGCCUAUUGAAGUUAAAAAAAUAAACUCUUUCUUGCACCACCAGGACUCAACAGAACAACCAGCUCCUUUGUGACCUCAAGGUUAAAGGACAACCCUGCGUGAUAUCUGGGGACUACCUGGCUGCUUACCUGUCAAUUGCAAUUAUUAUCAACAUGUUUUGAGCGAAUAACAGUCAAUUGGUUAACUUUAUUGCUUGUCUGGACAUUAGCAAGUAUACCAUGAAUGCUAUUUUUUAUGCUGAUUCACUUGCUACCAAAAAUGUGGAUGUUAAUAGAUGAUUGCAGUAACUGGAUUUGCUUUGUAUGUAGUGGCAGGAAAUCAGACUGGUAUGAGAGUAUUUUUGUUUCUACACAUCACAGGCUGAGAGAUUGAAAAAUGUUAGAAUUGGUGGUAAAACUAGCUAGAUGCCAUGAAAUGCAUCAAAACCCUCCUAUUUCUGCUGAUUGAUUUACUUUAUCUGUAAUAAAGUUGAUGGCUGGGAAAUAUCUGU